rnacentral:rRNA from 1 species
GACGAACGCUGGCGGCGUGCCUAAUACAUGCAAGUUGAGCGAUGAAGAUUGGUGCUUGCACCAAUUUGAAGAGCAGCGAACGGGUGAGUAACGCGUGGGGAAUCUGCCUUUGAGCGGGGGACAACAUUUGGAAACGAAUGCUAAUACCGCAUAACAACUUUAAACAUAAGUUUUAAGUUUGAAAGAUGCAAUUGCAUCACUCAAAGAUGAUCCCGCGUUGUAUUAGCUAGUUGGUGAGGUAAAGGCUCACCAAGGCGAUGAUACAUAGCCGACCUGAGAGGGUGAUCGGCCACAUUGGGACUGAGACACGGCCCAAACUCCUACGGGAGGCAGCAGUAGGGAAUCUUCGGCAAUGGACGAAAGUCUGACCGAGCAACGCCGCGUGAGUGAAGAAGGGUUUCGGAUCGUAAAACUCUGUUGGUAGAGAAGAACGUUGGUGAGAGUGGAAAGCUCAUUAAGUGACGGUAACUACCCAGAAAGGGACGGCUAACUACGUG